AACAGCACUUCGGUGGCUGACGAGUGGCGCACGGGUGCGUAACGCGUAUACAAUCUACCUUUUACAGGGGGAUAGCCCAGAGAAAUUUGGAUUAAUACCCCAUGGCAUAUAUUUAUGGCAUCAUAUAUAUAUUAAAGAUUCAUCGGUAAGAGAUGAGUAUGCGUUCUAUUAGCUAGUUGGUGCGGUAACGGCGCACCAAGGCUACGAUAGAUAGGGGCCCUGAGAGGGGGAUCCCCCACACUGGUACUGAGACACGGACCAGACUCCUACGGGAGGCAGCAGUGAGGAAUAUUGGACAAUGGGCGAGAGCCUGAUCCAGCCAUGCCGCGUGCAGGAAGACUGCCCUAUGGGUUGUAAACUGCUUUUAUACGGGAAGAAACACCCCCUCGUGAGGGGGCUUGACGGUACCGUAAGAAUAAGGAUCGGCUAACUCCGUGCCAGCAGCCGCGGUAAUACGGAGGAUCCAAGCGUUAUCCGGAAUCAUUGGGUUUAAAGGGUCCGUAGGUGGACGGUUAAGUCAGAGGUGAAAUCCUGCAGCUCAACUGUAGAAUUGCCUUUGAUACUGGUCGCCUUGAGUCAUUGUGAAGUGGUUGGAAUAUGUAGUGUAGCGGUGAAAUGCAUAGAUAUUACAUAGAACACCGAUUGCGAAGGCAGAUCACUAACAAUGUACUGACACUGAUGGACGAAAGCGUGGGGGGCGAACAGGAUUAGAUACCCUGGUAGUCCACGCCGUAAACGAUGGUCACUAGCUGUUCGAACUUCGGUUUGAGUGGCUAAGCGAAAGUGAUAAGUGACCCACCU
rnacentral:rRNA from 1 species